AGGGCUUACGGUGGAUACCUAGGCAUACAGAGGCGAUGAAGGACGUAGUUACCGACGAAACGUCUCGGGGAGCUGGCAGCAGGCUUAGAUCCGAGAAUCUCCGAAUGGGGCAACCCUUAAUACUGCCACCUGAAUCUAUAGGGUGGAUAGAGCUAACCCAGCGAAUUGAAACAUCUUAGUAGCUGGAGGAAGAGAAAGCAAUAGCGAUUCCCUAAGUAGCGGCGAGCGAAAGGGGAACAGCCUAAACCAGAGUGCAUGCACUCUGGGGUUGUGGGACAGCAACGUGGACUAGAGCGAUUAGACGAAGCAUCUGAAUAGUGCAUCAUAGAGGGUGAUAAUCCCGUAGUCAAAAAUCUAACUAGCCUAGCUGAAUCCCGAGUAGGCCGGAGCACGUGGAAUUCCGGUUGAAUCAGCGAGGACCAUCUCGUAAGGCUAAAUACUCCUGUAUGACCGAUAGUGAACCAGUACCGCGAGGGAAAGGUGAAAAGAACCCCGGAAGGGGAGUGAAAUAGAACAUGAAACCGUAAGCCUACAAGCAAUGGGAGACCGAUUUAACGGUUGACCGUGUGCCUGUUGAAGAAUGAGCCGGCGACUUAUAGGUACUGGCAGGUUAAAGCAUACAUGCUGUAGCCAAAGCGAAAGCGAGUCUGAAUAGGGCGAGUUAUUGUCAGUAUUUAUAGACCCGAACCCUGGUGAUCUAACCAUGGUCAGGAUGAAGCUUGGGUAACACCAAGUGGAGGUCCGAACCGACUGAUGUUGAAAAAUCAGCGGAUGAAUUGUGGUUAGCGGUGAAAUGCCAAUCGAACUAGGAGCUAGCUGGUUCUCCCCGAAAUAUGUUGAGGCAUAGCGGUAAUGAUUAUAGUCUGGGGGUAAAGCACUGUUUCGGUGCGGGCGGAGAAAUCUGUACCAAAUCGAUACAAACUCUGAAUACCAGAUGCACACAUUGCCAGUCAGACGGUGGGGGAUAAGCUUCAUCGUCAAGAGGGAAACAGCCCAGACCACCAGCUAAGGUCCCAAAAUGACUGCUAAGUGAUAAAGGAGGUGGGAUUGCAGUGACAACCAGGAGGUUUGCCUAGAAGCAGCCACCCUUGAAAGAGUGCGUAAUAGCUCACUGGUCAAGCGAUCCUGCGCCGAAAAUGAACGGGGCUAAGCAAUACACCGAAGCUAUGGACUUGAAUUUAUUCAAGUGGUAGGGGAGCGUUCCAUGUUAGGUUGAAGCCGUAGCGGCAAGCAGCGGUGGACGAAAUGGAAGUGAGAAUGUCGGCUUGAGUAGCGCAAAUGUGAGUGAGAAUCUCACAGCCCGAAAUCCUCAGGAUUCCUUCGGCAGGCUCGUCCGCGAAGGGUUAGUCGGGACCUAAGGCGAGGCCGAAAGGCGUAGUCGAUGGACAACGGUUUAAUAUUACCGUACCGUUAAUUGUUGGUACAGAGGGACGGAGAAGGUCGUCACCAGCCAGAGAUUGGUUGUUCUGGUGCAACUGUGCGAGGUGUUGAGAGUCGGCGAAAACGACUUGAGCUAAGCCAGGAGUCCGGCGAGCUACGGCUCGUUAGUGGUCGAGAUCAUGCUUCCAAGAAAAGCUCUAACUACCAUAAGCAAUUAAUGCCCGUACCGGAAACCGACACAGGUGGGAUGGUUGAGAAUACCCAGGGCCGCGAGAUAACUCUCUCUAAGGAACUCGGCAAAAUAGCCCCGUAACUUCGGGAGAAGGGGUGCCCAUAGCAAUAUGGGUCGCAGUGAAAAGUCCCAGGCGACUGUUUACCAAAAACACAGGUCUCCGCUAACUCGUAAGAGGAAAUAUGGGGGCUGACGCCUGCCCAGUGCCGGAAGGUUAAGGAAGUUGGUCAGAGAGCAAUCUUAAAGCUAGCGACUGAAGCCCCGGUGAACGGCGGCCGUAACUAUAACGGUCCUAAGGUAGCGAAAUUCCUUGUCGGGUAAGUUCCGACCCGCACGAAAGGCGUAACGAUCUGGGAGCUGUCUCGGAGAGAGACUCGGCGAAAUAGGAUUGUCUGUGAAGAUACGGACUACCUGCACCUGGACAGAAAGACCCUAUGAAGCUUUACUAUAGCCUGGCAUUGUGUUCGGGCUUCGCUUGCGCAGGAUAGGUGGGAGACGUUGAAGCAGUCCUUGUGGGGAUUGUGGAGUCAUCAGUGAGAUACCACUCUGGCGAGGCUAGAAUUCUAACGGUUGCCCGUGAUCCGGGAACCGGACAGUUUCAGGUGGGUAGUUUGACUGGGGCGGUCGCCUCCUAAAUUGUAACGGAGGCGCGCAAAGGUUCUCUUAGAUUGGUUGGAAAUCAAUCGUUAAGUGUAAAGGCAGAAGAGAGCUUGACUGCAACACCAACAAGUGGAGCAGGUACGAAAGUAGGCCUUAGUGAUCCGACGGUACUGAAUGGAAGGGCCGUCGCUCAACGGAUAAAAGUUACUCUAGGGAUAACAGGCUGAUCUCCCCCAAGAGUCCACAUCGACGGGGAGGUUUGGCACCUCGAUGUCGGCUCAUCGCAACCUGGGGCGGUAGUACGUCCCAAGGGUUGGGCUGUUCGCCCAUUAAAGCGGUACGUGAGCUGGGUUCAGAACGUCGUGAGACAGUUCGGUCCAUAUCCGGUGCAGGCGCAAGAGUAUUGAGAGGAUUCCUCCUUAGUACGAGAGGACCGGGAGGAACGCACCGCUGGUGUACCUGUUAUCGUGCCAACGGUAAACGCAGGGUAGCUAUGUGCGGAGUGGAUAACCGCUGAAAGCAUCUAAGUGGGAAGCCCACCUCAAGAUGAGUACUCUCACUACAUAAGUAGGUAAGGUCACGGGCAGAACACCCGUUAAUAGGAUGUAGAUGGAAGCUCAGUAAUGAGUGCAGUCGAGCAUUACUAACAGACCGAGGGCUUGACCU
rnacentral:rRNA from 1 species